rnacentral:rRNA from 1 species
AUGUAUCCAAAACGACUCUCGGCAACGGAUAUCUCGGCUCUCGCAUCGAUGAAGAACGUAGCGAAAUGCGAUACUUGGUGUGAAUUGCAGAAUCCCGUGAACCAUCGAGUCUUUGAACGCAAGUUGCGCCCCAAGCCGAUAGGCCGAGGGCACGUCUGCCUGGGUGUCACGC